CCAAACUGUGAGUGAACCACCAUCUACCCUGGCUAGGAAGAAUAGUAACGAACAGGCCCAAUUCUCAGUCCUCCUGCCGCCUCCUACCUCCACCCCUACCUGCCCCCAACCUCCAGCAGCCAUUGUAAAGAUGUCUAAAUGGGUCCCUGAGAGGGAGGCCUUGCCUGGACUGGAAGUACUCAGCCGCUAGGUGGCAUAGGGCUGUUCAGGGAGGGCCAGUGUCUGCCUCAGUUUUGGGGACUGUCCUCUGUUGCCCUCACAGGUUUUUUCUUUCUCCCUUUCAGAUCUGCUGAGCCCCAACCUUCUCGCAGGCAUUCACUGUGCAAAAAUGAUUGUGUCCGGAUCAGGGGGGAUGAACAAAUGGGUAGAAUGGAGGUUGCACUGCUCAGGCCGGCCACUCUCCUACUGGAUGACAGGAUGCCGCCUGGAAUGAAACAGGGUGCAGGCCCACUGUAGAGUCAUUCCAGGACUCCCGUCCUCACUUGGAGGUUCUUCGUUUCUUCUUCUUCUUGCCUCCGCUUCAUGUUAUUUUCUUCCCUUCCCAUUUACGAGCAAAACUGAUCAGAGCCCUGGGAAUAAAUGGUUUUCUCGGGCUUCCUC